rnacentral:tRNA from 1 species
GGUGGCUCAGGGGUAGAGUGCUUGCCUUGCAUGCAGGUGGCCCUGGGUUCGAUUCCUCAGCACCA